CUUCGGCGUAAACCGAGUGGUUAGAUUUUGAUUAAACUAAAGCGGACGUCUCUCAGCGCUGUUAUACGCCCUCGAGAGCAGUAACCUCAACUACGCAAGUAGCUUUACCCCUAUUGAAGCCACGAAAGCUGUGACACAAACUGGGAUUAGAUACCCCACUAUGCUCAGCCAUAAACUUUGGCAGUUUGAUACAAAUUCUGCCCGCCAGGGUACUACAAGCAUCAGCUUAAAACCCAAAGGACUUGGCGGUGCUUUAGACCCCCCUAGAGGAGCCUGUUCUAGAACCGAUAACCCCCGUUAAACCUCACCCUCUCUUGUUCAUUCCGCCUAUAUACCGCCGUCGUCAGCUUACCCUGUGAAGGCCUAAUAGUAAGCAAAACUGGCA
rnacentral:rRNA from 1 species